GGGGAUUUAGCUCAGUGGUAGAGCGCUUGCCUAGCAAGCACAAGGCCCUGGGUUCGGUUCCCAGCUCA
rfam:Rattus norvegicus chromosome 5, whole genome shotgun sequence.